rnacentral:lncRNA from 1 species
AUGUUCUGCCAGAUCCUUGGGCAAGCCAAGAAGCAUGCCAGCUUGAUUCCUCUCUUCGUAUUUAUUGGAGCUGGGGGUACUGGAGCAGCACUGUGUGUGAUGUGCUUGGCAUUGUUCAAUCCAGAUGUCAGCUGGGACAGGAAGAACAACCCAGAGCCUUGGAACAAACUGGGUCCCAAUGAACAAUAGAAGUUCUACUCACUCAAUGUGGACUACAGCAAACUGAAGAAAAAAAGGCCC